UGUCAUCAUGUUCUAAGCGGAUACAGGAGAAGCUCAUCAGGCCACAUGGCAAGGAAGCCUUAAGCUGCCUGCUUGACUUGAUUCAUCUGCUUGCUUUCUGAAGACAAGGGUACGGGAAAGAGAAAUCAGAGCUAUACUGAACACAACGGCAAGCCAAAUGAUCAGAUGCAGAGACAAGAGAGUCUUCAAUGAGUCCUGUUUUGACUUUUACAAAAGGAACUGUAGUUCCGCUCCUGAAAAUAAAUCAAGAAAGAAGAGAGCUAUGUAAAGAAAACGCCCAAAUAGACCAUAUACAAGGAGACAGAAGCUUAAUAAAAAACAACAACAACAAAAAGACAUGGUUGAGGAGCCAGUUGGAAUCUGGGUGAGAUAGCAGGUGAUGGUGAUUGAAAACAUUGAUCUUCAAACUGGAUUCAUCUGAUG